rnacentral:rRNA from 1 species
GACGUAGGGCGCAAGCGUUUGUCCGGAUUUAUUGGGCGUAAAGAGCUCGUAGGCGGCUUGUCGCGUCGACCGUGAAAACCCGCAGCUCAACUGCGGGCUUGCGGUCGAUACGGGCAGGCUCGAGUUCGGUAGGGGAGACUGGAAUUCCUGGUGUAGCGGUGAAAUGCGCAGAUAUCAGGAGGAACACCGGUGGCGAAGGCGGGUCUCUGGGCCGAUACUGACGCUGAGGAGCGAAAGCGUGGGGAGCGAACAGG